rnacentral:rRNA from 1 species
UACGGAGAGUGCAAACGUUGUUCGGAUUCACUGGGCGUAAAGGGCACGUAGGCGGCUCGGCAAAUCGGUCGUGGAAUCCCGACGCUUACCGUCGGAACGGCGGCCGAAAAUACCGGGCUCGAGGGCGUGAGGGGUCACUGGAACUCCUGGUGAAGCGGUGAAAUGCGUAGAUAUCAGGAGGAACACCGAUGGCGAAGGCAGCUCGCUGGGACGGUACUGACGCCGAGACGCGAAAGCGUGGGGAGCAAACAGG